AGCCCCUGGGCGCAGGCCUUAAACAUGCAAGUCGAGCGGUAGCACAGGGGAGCUUGCUCCCCGGGUGACGAGCGGCGGACGGGUGAGUAAUGUCUGGGAAACUGCCUGAUGGAGGGGGAUAACUACUGGAAACGGUAGCUAAUACCGCAUAACGUCGCAAGACCAAAGAGGGGGACCUUCGGGCCUCUUGCCAUCAGAUGUGCCCAGAUGGGAUUAGCUAGUAGGUGGGGUAAUGGCUCACCUAGGCGACGAUCCCUAGCUGGUCUGAGAGGAUGACCAGCCACACUGGAACUGAGACACGGUCCAGACUCCUACGGGAGGCAGCAGUGGGGAAUAUUGCACAAUGGGCGCAAGCCUGAUGCAGCCAUGCCGCGUGUGUGAAGAAGGCCUUCGGGUUGUAAAGCACUUUCAGCGAGGAGGAAGGUGGUGAGCUUAAUACGCUCAUCAAUUGACGUUACUCGCAGAAGAAGCACCGGCUAACUCCGUGCCAGCAGCCGCGGUAAUACGGAGGGUGCAAGCGUUAAUCGGAAUUACUGGGCGUAAAGCGCACGCAGGCGGUUUGUUAAGUCAGAUGUGAAAUCCCCGGGCUCAACCUGGGAACUGCAUUUGAAACUGGCAAGCUAGAGUCUCGUAGAGGGGGGUAGAAUUCCAGGUGUAGCGGUGAAAUGCGUAGAGAUCUGGAGGAAAUACCGGUGGCGAAGGCGGCCCCCUGGAACGACGACUGACGCUCAGGUGCGAAAGCGUGGGGAGCAAACAAGGAUA
rnacentral:rRNA from 1 species